AACCUGCCUAUCAGAGGGGAAUAACAGUGAGAAAGUCAUUGCUAAUACCGCAUAAGCUAGUAGUAUCGCAUGAUAUAGCUAGAAAAGGAGCAAUCCGCUGAUAGAUGGGCUUGCGUCUGAUUAGCUAGUUGGUGGGGUAACGGCCUACCAAGGCGACGAUCAGUAGCCGGACUGAGAGGUUGAACGGCCACAUUGGGACUGAGAUACGGCCCAGACUCCUACGGAAGGCAGCAG
rnacentral:rRNA from 1 species